rnacentral:lncRNA from 1 species
CAUUUUCAGAUGUUGUCCAGAAAUCUGCAAGUGUUCUUUUCCUGUUUUAACUCCUUCCUUUUAUCACCUGACUAUCAGGGAAGCGAGGUUGAGGCUGCCCUGCCCUGACAUGUCAUGAUGUCGACUUGCUAGGUGGGGUUCGCUGGGGACCAUAACCAAUGGAAUUGUUGGUUGCCUUGAUAUGGCCAGUUUUCUUCUGUUAUUUUCCUUGAGGAUAUAUAUACUCAGAUCCUCACCAAUGGUAAAGGUGGAAGUUCUGCAUCUCAUAAUGGAGAUUUACUUGAAGUCAUACACUUAUUCCUCUUUGUGCUGUGCCAUUAAAGUGUGUGAGUGUGUGUGUGUGUGUGUGUGUGUGUGUGUGUGUGUGUGUGUGUGUGACUUAGGGAAAGGUCAUAGGGGUCAAAUGGUCAAAACAAAUUGAAUGAGUAGCAAGGAAUCCUAAUAUAUUCUGUCUUAUGGCUUGAAUGAAAUGGCUGAUAAGUGUAGACUAUAAGAUGAGAACAGUAAGGCCUUCCCUGAGAUCACUGGUUUUCAGUUUACUGUUCUGGGUUUUUUUGUUUUUUGUGUUUUUUUUAAAUUGGUCCCCAAGUCAAAAGAUCAGUGAACCAGGAAGGGCCUUUGUAAAAGCAGACAUACUGAAGUUUUUUCAGAUAUCAUAGCCAGAGUUUGGCAGGGCAGAGGACAGACAGGUGCAGGUGUAGUGUAGGUACUGAUUAGGCCCUAUGGUGUUAGCUCCAAGAUCAGAUGUGGGCCACGUUUACUCUGGGGUGUCUAUAGGCCGUGUCUGCUAGUGUCUAGACCCUAAAUUCAUUUAGUUCAUUUGUGAAAAUGAGCAUUUCCUGUGCAGUUGUAUUAUUGACAUAGAAGGAUGUCUUAUACCUGUAUCUAUGAAAAUGUUGCUUUUCUAUUUAGAAAUUUUAGAAAAAUUAGGGCCAUGUAUAAACAUUUCCUGUAAGAAAUCCUGUUUCAACUAUUUAUUUGCAAUUCCCAGAUAGUGACCUAACCUUUACUUUAUUUAUUUAUUUUUAAACAUGGAUCUUACUAUGUAGCCCUUGAACUCAGAUCUGUCAGCUGCCUCCCAAGUGCUGGACGUAAAAACCUGUAUCACUACGCCUAGCCUCAGACGGUGAAUGUUAGGGCCUAGUUGUUAGUAGGUCAGGGGUCUGUGAUAAUAGUUCAGUGGUAAGAGGACUCAGUUAUUCCUGUGCACAAACCCCUGGGUUUAAUUCCCAUCAUGAUGGGGAAAAUAAGUAAAAAUAAAUAAAUAAAUAAAAAAUAUCAUACAGUUAGGCUCAUGACAUGUCUGAGGUUAACCUUGG